rnacentral:rRNA from 1 species
UACGUAGGGUGCAAGCGUUGUCCGGAAUUAUUGGGCGUAAAGAGCUCGUAGGUGGCCUGUCGCGUCGGCUGUGAAAACUCGGGGGCUCAACUCCGAGCUUGCAGUCGAUACGGGCAGGCUAGAGUUCGGCAGGGGAGAACUGGAAUUCCUGGUGUAGCGGUGAAAUGCGCAGAUAUCAGGAGGAACACCGGUGGCGAAGGCGGGUCUCUGGGCCGAUACUGACACUGAGGAGCGAAAGCGUGGGGAGCGAACAGG